AUUGAACGCUGGCGGCAUGCUUUACACAUGCAAGUCGAACGGCAGCGCGGGCUUCGGCCUGGCGGCGAGUGGCGAACGGGUGAGUAAUGCAUCGGAACGUGCCCAGUAGUGGGGGAUAGCCCGGCGAAAGCCGGAUUAAUACCGCAUACGACCUGAGGGUGAAAGCGGGGGACCGAAAGGCCUCGCGCUAUUGGAGCGGCCGAUGUCGGAUUAGCUAGUUGGUGGGGUAAAGGCUUACCAAGGCGACGAUCCGUAGCUGGUCUGAGAGGACGACCAGCCACACUGGGACUGAGACACGGCCCAGACUCCUAAGGGAGGCAGCAGUGGGGAAUUUUGGACAAUGGGGGCAACCCUGAUCCAGCCAUGCCGCGUGCGGGAAGAAGGCCUUCGGGUUGUAAACCGCUUUUGUUCGGGAAGAAAUCCUCUGGGCUAAUACCCCGGGGGGAUGACGGUACCGGAAGAAUAAGCACCGGCUAACUACAUG
rnacentral:rRNA from 1 species